rnacentral:tRNA from 1 species
UGUGAGAAAUAAAAUAAUUAAAAUUAAGCUGCUAACUUAAUUUUUAGUGGUUAAAUUCCAUUA